rnacentral:rRNA from 1 species
UUUGAUUCUGGCUCAGGACGAACGCUGGCGGCCUGCUUAACACCUGCCAGUCCAACCAUGAAGCCUAACUUGCUAGGUGGAUUAAUGGCCAACGGGUGAAUAAUACGUGAGUGACCUACCUUUUGACUCCUGGGAUAAGCCUGGGAAACUGGGUCUAAUACCGGAUACGACCAAUCUCCGCAUGGGGUGUUGGUGGAAAGCGUUAUGGAGUGGUUUUAGAUGGGCUCACGGCCUAUCAGCUUGUUGGUGAGGUAAUGGCUUACCAAGGCGACGACGGGUAGCCGGCCUGAGAGGGUGACCGGCCACACUGGGACUGAGACACGGCCCAGACUCCUACGGGAGGCAGCAGUGGGGAAUAUUGCACAAUGGGCGCAAGCCUGAUGCAGCGACGCCGCGUGAGGGAUGACGGCCUUCGGGUUUGUAAACCUCUGUUAGCAUCGAAGAAGCGAAAGUGACGGUAGGUGCAGAGAAAGCGCCGGCUAACUACGUGCCAGCAGCCGCGGUAAUACGUAGGGCGCGAGCGUUGUCCGGAAUUAUUGGGCGUAAAGAGCUUGUAGGCGGUUGGUCGCGUCUGCUGUGAAAGGCUGGGGCUUAACCCUGGUUUUGCAGUGGGUACGGGCUAACUAGAGUGCAGUAGGGGAGACUGGAAUUCCUGGUGUAGCGGUGGAAUGCGCAGAUAUCAGGAGGAACACCGAUGGCGAAGGCAGGUCUCUGGGCUGUAACUGACGCUGAGAAGCGAAAGCAUGGGGAGCGAACAGGAUUAGAUACCCUGGUAGUCCAUGCCGUAAACGUUGGGCACUAGGUGUGGGGGACAUUCCAUGUUUUCCGCGCCGUAGCUAACGCAUUAAGUGCCCCGCCUGGGGAGUACGGCCGCAAGGCUAAAACUCAAAGAAAUUGACGGGGGCCCGCACAAGCGGCGGAGCAUGCGGAUUAAUUCGAUGCAACGCGAAGAACCUUACCAAGGCUUGACAUAUACUGGACUGCGUCAGAGAUGGCGUUUCCCUUCGGGGCUGGUAUACAGGUGGUGCAUGGUUGUCGUCAGCUCGUGUCGUGAGAUGUUGGGUUAAGUCCCGCAACGAGCGCAACCCUCGUUCUAUGUUGCCAGCACGUGAUGGUGGGGACUCAUAGGAGACUGCCGGGGUUAACUCGGAGGAAGGUGGGGAUGACGUCAAAUCAUCAUGCCCCUUAUGUCUUGGGCUUCACGCAUGCUACAAUGGCCGGUACAGAGGGUUGCGAUACUGUGAGGUGGAGCUAAUCCCUAAAAGCCGGUCUCAGUUCGGAUUGGGGUCUGCAACUCGACCCCAUGAAGUCGGAGUCGCUAGUAAUCGCAGAUCAGCAACGCUGCGGUGAAUACGUUCCCGGGCCUUGUACACACCGCCCGUC